AGGACGAACGCUGGCGGCGUGCUUAACACAUGCAAGUCGAGCGGAAAGGCCCUUCGGGGUACUCGAGCGGCGAACGGGUGAGUAACACGUGAGCAACCUGCCCUUAGCUUCGGGAUAGCUCCCGGAAACGGGAAUUAAUACCGGAUACGACUGCGGUAGACAUCUACCACGGUGAAAAGAAUUUCGGCUAAGGAUGGGCUCGCGGUCUAUCAGCUAGUUGGUGGGGUAACGGCCUACCAAGGCGACGACGGAUA
rnacentral:rRNA from 1 species